UACGUAGGGGGCAAGCGUUGUCCGGAAUUAUUGGGCGUAAAGCGCGCGCAGGCGGCCGAUUAAGUCUGGUGUUUAACCCCGGGGCUCAACCCCGGGUCGCACUGGAAACUGGUUGGCUUGAGUACAGAAGAGGAAAGUGGAAUUCCACGUGUAGCGGUGAAAUGCGUAGAGAUGUGGAGGAACACCAGUGGCGAAGGCGACUUUCUGGGAAGAUACUGACGCUGAGGUGCGAAAGCGUGGGGAGCAAACAGG
rnacentral:rRNA from 1 species